GUGCUUCGGCAGCACAUAUACUAGAAUUGGAACGAUACAGAGAAGAUUAGCAUGGCCCCUGCGCGAGGAUGACAUGCAAAUUCGUAAAGCGUUCCAUAUUUUU